rnacentral:rRNA from 1 species
UACGUAGGGUCCGAGCGUUGUCCGGAAUUAUUGGGCGUAAAGCGCGCGCAGGCGGCUAUCCAAGUCAGUGGUGAAAGCCCGGAGCUCAACUCCGGAACUGCCAUUGAAACUGUUUAGCUUGAGGACGAGAGAGGUGAGCGGAAUUCCCAGUGUAGAGGUGAAAUUCGUAGAUAUUGGGAAGAACACCAGUGGCGAAGGCGGCUCACUGGCUCGUUUCUGACGCUCAGGCGCGAUAGCGUGGGGAUCAAACAGG